GGAGGGCUUCAAAUUAAAUCGAAAUCUAAGGAGCUGAUGCUGGCAAUGGGAGCUCGCCAGAAGUUAAAGCUGUUGAACUGCAGCAGAGUGUCCUCUUCUGGGGACAGGUCCUGGCUGCCGCGCUCGCCGAGCUUGGCCAGGCCUCCCUUGGGCGUGUAGAGGGCCAUGUCUGCGAGCCCCAGCCCCUCCAGCUCGGCCAUGUCCAGCCGCGGGAUCGGCAUCCUCCAGUAGAUGAAGGAGUCGUACUGGCUGCUGAUGGUGUCCAGCAUUUUCAGGCUGGGAAAGAAGAGAAAAGCUCUACCAAAGACACAAGAGUUGCCCCAAAGUGGCCAGAAAUCCGGGUGUUGCCAUGUUGACCCUGCCCCGUAGGAUAAUCCCCUAAAAAAGGGGAUAAACCCCUAAAAAAGGAGUUGAUGGUGGAGGAGAGCAUGGGGUUGUGGAGGUUUGACUCUAGGCUGGGUCUAACUGCAGGCUUGGUUUUAUCCCCACCCUUCUCUGCGCCGAAAUUCGGAAGGGGCCCAAGGGAUUUGUCACGCCGUGCCUCAGUUUCCCCGGGCAGGGUGGGGAUUAUCCCCUUCCCAACUGCUCCUCCUGAAAUCCAUCCUGCCGGCUCUGGGGAGCAGAGGUGGGAGAGCAGCACCCAAACAAACCCUUUUCCCACACCUCCACACCUUUCCCCGUGCUGAAUCCCCUCGGAGCGGGCAGUGGGGAGGGGUCCCUGUGCAGCUCCCUCCCCCCGAUCCCACCCCAUCCCUCCCUCCCAUGAGCGAACCCUCUAGAAAGGGCUGGAAGGAGCAUCCCCACCACACCCCACCCAUCCCUGCCCGUCCCUGCUGCAGAAUUCCCCCUGCAGCCCCACCCCAUCCACCAAAAAAUUGGGAAAGGGCAGGAGGAGAGGUGGAUCAGCUUCUUCAGGCGGGAGCUGAGUCACUGCCCGGCUUCUCCCCGGCAGGGUUGUGUCAUUCACCUCCUCGACUGCGCAGGGCUCGGUGCCGGCCGCGCUCUUUGUGCCGGGGAGCCGCGGGAGGAGCAGCGGCGCUUUUGUCUGCGGGCUCGGCUGG
rnacentral:lncRNA from 1 species